UUGAUGAUGGUGAUGUACAGAUGUGUUUUUGGUGUGGAUGUCCUUUCUGUUAGUUUUCCUUCUAACAGACAGGACUCUCAGCUGCAGGUCUGUUGGAAUACCCUGCUGUGUGAGGUGUCAGUGUGCCCCUGCUGGGGGGUGCCUCCCAGUUAGGCUGCUCAGGGGUCAGGGACCCACUUGAGGAGGCAGUCUGCCCGUUCUCAGAUCUCCAGCUGCGUGCUGGGAGAACCCCUGCUCUCUUCAAAGCUGUCAGACAGGGACAUUUAAGUCUGCAGAGGUUACUGCUGUCUUUUUGUUUGUCUGUGCCCUGCCCGCAGAGGUGGAGCCUACAGAGGCAGGCAGGCCUCCUUGAGCUGUGGUGGGCUCCGCCCAGUUGGAGCUUCCCGGCUGCUUUGUUUACCUAAGCAAGCCUGGGCAAUGGCGGGCGCCCCUCCCCCAGCCUUGCUGCUGCCUUGCACUUUGAUCUCAGACUGCUGUGCUAGCAAUCAGGGAGACUCCAUGGGCGUAGGACCCUCCAAGCCAUGUGUGGGAUAUAAUCUCGUGGUGUGCCGUUUUUUAAGCCCUUCGGAAAAGUGCAGUAUUCGGGUGGGAGUGACCUGAUUUUACAGAUGCCGUCCGUCACCCCUUUCUUUGAUUUGGAAAGGGAACUCCCUGACCCCUUGCACUUCCCAAGUGAGGUAAUGCCUCGCCCUGCUUCGGCUCACGCACGGUGCGCGCACCCACUGACCUGCACCCACUGUCUGGCGAGAUGAACCCGGUACCUCAGAUGGAAAUGCAGAAAUCACCGUCUUCUGCGUCGCUCACGCUGGGAGCUGUAGACCGGAGCUGUUCCUAUUCGGCCAUCUUGGCUCCUCUCCUCAGCGGAAUCUAGUUUGUUCCCAAGUUACCAUAUCUCAGAGGCAUAUAAUGCUGUCCAAUUCUCUUGAAAACAAAAAUAAUUCAAGCUCCAAUAAUAAAGAUUUUUCUGCUUUGUUCUUCUGAGUCCCUUGUGCUGAGAAAACUCAUCUAGCAUAUGGGUUUUGACUCUUGGGUCUGAAAAAGGCAGCGAUCCCUGCUAAAUUCUGAACACUGACAUUAGUCGUCAGCCUUGGAAGAAGCAACAAUCACAACGAUCUGCUUUUUAAUGAGGCAAAGGACCAGAAAUUAAGACUAUUAAAGUCCCCUAGGCCCAGGAACUAUCGCAGAAGAGAUGGGAACAUAAGAUUGUGAGGGCUGAUUUUGAGGGUUGAUUAGUUUAGAGUUUUCUAUAAAUUAAACAUUAAAAUCAAAAGCACACCGAUGCAAGGCCAGCGUCUCCGCCCGUGUGUUGGAAUAACAGGGUUUUCUUGGAGCAUUGAUCUGCUCUUUAAUAGAAAGCUGUAAAAGGUUUUAAAAGGUUUAUCAAAAUCUUACCUUAUGGUAAAACUGAUUAAAAUUGUAUUUGUUUAUAAGGUUUUAUUAAAAUUAGCUUUAACAUUAAUAAUACAGCAUACAAGGUAAAAUUUGGUUUUCUCUUUUGAAUAAAAUUUUUAUGUAAGGAAUAAUAAGAUAUUUUUGUUUACCUUUUGAGUCAACUGCAGGGGAAAAGAAAGGGAGUGAGAGGAGACAGAUUUAGUUGGCCUCAAGCUGUUCUAAGUAUCAGGUCUUAUUGCUUGGGAAACUGAGUGUCUUCUCUAUCAAAAGGUAAACAUUUUUGUGCUAUCAUUUUGGCUAAACAAAUGACUAUUUUAUAAUAACCAUGAUCCUAUUUUGUGAUAUAUCAAAUGUCUUAAACAUUUGAUAGUUGACAGACUUUCCAACAGCAAAAUUUCAGAGUCUAAAUUCAGGCUUUUUGACCUCAAACUAACUCUUUGGAUAUUAGGUUCCCUCAAGUCCAAGAAAGACAUAUUAGGCUUACUAGGCUUUUGUUAUGUUAGAAUUAUGCAGAAAGCAUUGUGAAAUCUGAGGUGGUAUUUAGCUUCCUUUCGGCUUAUUUAUAUAGACGUGUUGUUAAUAUGCAUUCCAGUAUUAUAUGAGAUGCCUAAAAUUCUGAUAUGUCUUAAUAUAUGUUGUCUGUCAUAAUUACGAUUAUUAUGUUAAAUUUUUGUAUGCCAUAGAAAUAACCAACCGUCCUGGUCAACUGUGUCUUUAUCUAUGGCUGACUUAAGCCUUUUGUCAUCUACAAUCCUUGUUUUGCUUUGAUCCUUCUCAAAAAGUGACUUGUAAUCAGCUAUGGUCCAGGGCUUGCUUCUUUGGAGGAUUUCAUGAAAAGGAUUCUUGAAUGCAGGUUUCUGAUAACUUUGGAGAUUGUGCCACUGGAAUAGAGAGAAAACUUCCAGUGAACUAAGUGGAAGGCUGAUGUGUUCAUAAACAUAGCUAAACCAAUAUCAAGCAGAGCAAGAGUUGAUUGCAUGAACUGAACUAAUGGAGGACUAAAAUAAUAUUUAUGGCUUUUUUUGAAAUAUUGCUGAUUCUUUUUGUUUUGUUUUUCAGAAUAAGUUUUGAAUAAUGUUUUUCUUUUGAGCUAUUUAUAGCCUUUUAAUAUAUUUUUUAGUAUAGUGAGUACAUCAUACUUCUGUAAACACACUUUUGAAGCAUAUUUCUCUCUCUGUUUAAUUUAUCCAGAAUUUGUAAACUACUUGUGAAUAUUUUUAAUUAAUGGCAAUGUGGUUGCUUGCAUACAUUUAAUAACAACAUGUUUUAUUUUAUAAUGGGCCAUAACUGGAGGAACUUGUUAUUUUCUCAGGCCUUUGACUAAAAUGGCAUUGUGAGAGGUUCCAGCAAAGCCAAUUUAGGAGAGCGUAUAUGGACAAUGAUUCUUGCUGCACAUUGUGUGGGUAAUCAGGCCGAGUAUAUGGGACUGACACUUAUUUUGCAGUUAGAUUGGUCCUGUUGUGAUUUGUCUUUGGUGGAAGUGGGGGACUGGAGAAAUAAAUAUUGUGUUUCCGAAGAAAACUAUAGUAUUACACUAAUCUUUGAUUCCUGAGUGGCCAUGAGGUCACCCAUGGAUGGGAGCUGCUCAUGAAACCCCUCCUCAGCAUGAAGCAGCCAGAAAGAUCAACACCUGGAUUCCCCAUGAUUGAGGAAUUGAUAAAUAAAAAAGGGGACUGAAACCGACUCAACAGUCUCAUAGUUUUGUUGUUGCUGUUGUUGUUGUUGUUGUUGUUCUUGUUCUUGUUAAAAACACUUCUGGUCUUAAAGCUUGAAACUUACAUUUGUUUUAUCUGAGCUCCUACUCCAGGAAUGAACCUUUAGGCCUCUCAAAAAUUAUUAAAGAACUCACUGGAUCACUUCAUCCAGACAAUGAAAUGUUAGACCCUGUGUUAAUCAUAAUUGCUUCCAUGCCCCUCCAUAGUUUCUGUUUUCUUACACAUUGUUACGUUUUUUCCUGCUAUGUAAACCCCUAGUUUUAGUUGGUCAAGGGGGUGGAUUUUUAGACCAAUCUUCUGUCCCCUUGGCUGCAGCAACUGGC
rnacentral:lncRNA from 10 species